AGGGAAGCGAGCCUGCGAGGGGGAGCGAAUCCCAAAAAUAACGUCCCAGUUCGGAUUGUAGUCUGCAACCCGACUACAUGAAGCUGGAAUCGCUAGUAAUCGCGGAUCAGAAUGCCGCGGUGAAUACGUUCCCGGGUCUUGUACACACCGCCCGUCACACCAUGGGAGUCGGAAAUGCCCGAAGUCUGCGACCCAACCUUAGGGAGGGAGCAGCCGAAGGCAGGUCGGAUGACUGGGGUGAAGUCGUAACAAGGUAGC
rnacentral:rRNA from 1 species